UACAGAGGCCUCGAGCGUUAGGCGGAAUCACUGGGCUUAAAGCGUGUGUAGGCGGACUUCUAAGUACCUUGUGAAAUCCCACGGCUCACCCGUGGAACUGCUCGGUACACUGGUCGUCUUGAGCCUUCUAGGGGCGAGUGGAACAAAUGGUGGAGCGGUGAAAUGCGUAGAUAUCAUUUGGAACGCCAAUGGUGAAAACAACUCGCUGGGGAAGUGCUGACGCUGAGACACGAAAGCCAGGGGAGCGAACGGG
rnacentral:rRNA from 1 species